rnacentral:rRNA from 1 species
AUGGAUUGGUGCCUUCGGGAACUGUGAGACAGGUGCUGCAUGGCUGUCGUCAGCUCGUGUUGUGAAAUGUUGGGUUAAGUCCCGCAACGAGCGCAACCCUUAUCCUUUGUUGCCAGCGGUCCGGCCGGGAACUCAAAGGAGACUGCCAGUGAUAAACUGGAGGAAGGUGGGGAUGACGUCAAGUCAUCAUGGCCCUUACGACCAGGGCUACACACGUGCUACAAUGGCGCAUACAAAGAGAAGCGACCUCGCGAGAGCAAGCGGACCUCAUAAAGUGCGUCGUAGUCCGGAUUGGAGUCUGCAACUCGACUCCAUGAAGUCGGAAUCGCUAGUAAUCGUGGAUCAGAAUGCCACGGUGAAUACGUUCCCGGGCCUUGUACACACCGCCCGUCACACCAUGGGAGUGGGUUGCAAAAGAAGUAGGUAGCUUAACCUUCGGGAGGGCGCUUACCACUUUGUGAUUCAUGACUGGGGUGAAGUCGUAACAAGGUAACCGUAGGGGAACCUGCGGUUGGAUCACCUCCUUACCUGAAAGAAGC